UCCGGAGAGGGAGCCUGAGAAAUGGCUACCACAUCUAAGGAAGGCAGCAGGCGCGUAAAUUACCCAAUCCUGACUCAGGGAGGUAGUGACAAGAAAUAACGGACCGUUCGCCAUCCGGCGUCGGGACUGCAAUGAGCCGAAUUUACACCCCUUAGCGAGGACCAAUUGGAGGGCAAGUCUGGUGCCAGCAGCCGCGGUAAUUCCAGCUCCAAUAGCGUAUAUUAAAGUUGUUGCAGUUAAAAAGCUCGUAGUUGGAUUCCUGGCCUGGGGUAGCCGGUCCGCCUUGCAAAAGGUGCGCACUGAGCGGCCUCGGCCAUCCUUGGGAAGAGCAGUCCUGGCAUUCAGUUGUCGGGGUUGGGAUUCCCGACGUUUACUGUGAAAAAAUCAGAGUGUUCAAAGCAGGCUUACGCCUUGAAUACAUUAGCAUGGAAUAAUGAGAUAGGACCUUGGCGGUCUAUUUUGUUGGUUUGCACGCCGAGGUAAUGAUUAAAAGGGACGGUUGGGGUUCUUCGUAUUCAAUUGUCAGAGGUGAAAUUCUUGGAUUUAUGGAAGACGAACUGCUGCGAAAGCGUCGAACAAGGACGUUCUCAUUAAUCAAGAACGAAAGUUAGGGGAUCGAAGAUGAUUAGAUACCGUCGUAGUCUUAACCAUAAACUAUGCCGACUAGGGAUUGGGCGUGGUUUGUUCAUUGACCCGCUCAGCACCUUA
rnacentral:rRNA from 1 species